UCGUGCCAGCCACCGCGGUCAUACGAUUGACCCGAAUUAAUAGACACCCGGCGUAAAGAGUGUCAAGGAACAAUAUAAAAAUAAAGUCAAACCUUAAUUAAGCUGUAAAAAGCCAUAAUUAAAAUUAAGUUAAACUACGAAAGUAACUUUACCAUAAACUGAGUACACGACAACUAAGACCCAAACUGGGAUUAGAUACCCA
rnacentral:rRNA from 1 species